rnacentral:rRNA from 1 species
UACGUAGGGUGCGAGCGUUAAUCGGAAUUACUGGGCGUAAAGCGUGCGCAGGCGGUUUUGUAAGACAGGCGUGAAAUCCCCGGGCUUAACCUGGGAACUGCGCUUGUGACUGCAAGACUCGAGUACGGCAGAGGGGGGUGGAAUUCCACGUGUAGCAGUGAAAUGCGUAGAGAUGUGGAGGAACACCGAUGGCGAAGGCAGCCCCCUGGGUCGAUACUGACGCUCAUGCACGAAAGCGUGGGGAGCAAACAGG